rnacentral:rRNA from 1 species
GACGAACGCUGGCGGCGUGCCUAAUACAUGCAAGUCGAACGCAGUGGGGACGGGUGAGUAACACGUGGGUAACCUCCCAUCAGAGGGGAUAACACUUGGAAACAGGUGCUAAACCGAUACUGAUGGAUGGACCCGCGGUGCGUUUGCUAGUUGGUGGGGUAACGGCGCACCAAGGCCACGAUGUAGCGCCGACCUGAGAGGGUGAGCGGCCACACGGGGACGGAGACACGGCCCAGACGCCUACGGGAGGCAGCAGGAGGGAAUCUUCGGCAAUGGACGAAAGUCUGACCGAGCAACGCCGCGUGAGUGAAGAAGGUGUUCGGAUCGUAAAACUCUGUUGUUAGAGAAGCGGUAUCUAACCAGAAAGCCACGGCUAACUACGUGCCAGCAGCCGCGGUAAUUC